UCGGAUUGCAGGCUGCAACCCGCCUGCAUGAAGUUGGAAUCGCUAGUAAUCGCGGAUCAGCAUGCCGCGGUGAAUACGUUCCCGGGCCUUGUACACACCGCCCGUCACACCAUGAGAGUCGGGGACACCCGAAGUCCGUAGUCUAACCGCAAGGGGGACGCGGCCGAAGGUGGAUUCGAUAAUUGGGGUGAAGUCGUAACAAGGUACC
rnacentral:rRNA from 1 species